ensembl:lncRNA
CAUAUAUGGAGAUGAGAAGGGGCAAUCUGUUCAUCUGAAGCUUCAAAGUUAAGAAGACUGAAUUAUUUCAGUCCAUUUAUCGAUGUUUUUUCAUAUGCAUUUUCCCUGCUGAGAAGGUUUUAACCUAGUUUUUCCACCAAAGAGAAGGAAAAAAAUAAACAGUCAUUUACAGUAAAAACAUGAAAUUAGAGAGGAUCUUGCAACUAGGUAAGAUCCAUUUCCAGUCUCAUACCCAACCAGGAAACUUCAGCUACAAGUUCACAGCAUCAGUGCAGCUUUGAAAAUGGUCAGCCAUGAAGGUUUGUCUGAAACCUGGAAACCACAGCAUUCAACAAGAGCUGAAUAUAAAGUAUUUGUGCUAAUUGACAGUGACAUUAACAUAGAAAAUUUCACUGCAGCAAUUACACAUUCUAUUUUAAACAAUAUUUGUAAAGUAAAGGGUGAUUUUCUGCCAGGAGAAAAUCCAGCAGGUAGGUACAGGAAGCUAGUUUAUUUUCUUGUGCAGAAAUCUGUGGUGCCCAGCAGUUUGUUAUCGUUGUCACUCUCGAAAGAUAUAAGGAUGGCUUUCAACCAUAUAAUAUCAGAACCAGAUAAAACAGCUAACAGGAAUACACUAUCUAUAAAAACUGCAAUAAAAAACCUGUUUUGUUACCACCUGCUUAUGUUGAAUAUAGCUGUUGGCUCCAACAGUGUUCUAUGAUACUUUUUAUUGUGUUGAAAUUCUAUAAAAUUUGAUCACCGCUUGGUCGAAGCUAACAAUACAUUUAAGACAUGCUUGGCACAAAUGAACACUUUAACAUUCUUGGCUAUACCACAAUUAUUUUUAAAAGUUCUGUUCUGCAUUGUUUGUGUAGUUUCAAAAUAUUUGAAGCUGUUCUAGUUUCUAUUGUCCCCAGCCAGCAGCAUUUUGUUUGUGCUAUUUCAGCCCACGUACCAAGUCAAAUUUCAUAUUUCCACUCACCCAAAACUCUCUUUGAAUUCAGUUCUUUUACUUUAUCCUUCCAAAUAGUGUAUGAUAGCCAAUUAUUUCCAAAAACUCUUAUUGUAAAUAUGAUUGUGUAACAAUAUUACAUAUACAAGCAUGGGCAGCUGGAUGGAUUUUCAGGGGUCUCUUUACUGAAAUUUGUUGUCUGUACAAAAAAGAAUACUGAGUUUGUUGUGAAACCAGUUCUUAAACUAAACCAGUUUAUAGCUCAGUAUUUUAAAGAAUUAGCUGAAGAAUUAGCAGUGGCUUGCAUUCAGAAUUCACCACCCUAUCAGGGACACACAUUACAGAAAACUGAUGAAAAGCUGUUAAUCUCUUUGGAGUAGUUUGGUGUAAUUCCUUAAUGUCAAGAGAUCCUGAGAGUCAAAGUCUGGAAUGUAGCUAAUUAUUUCCUCUCAGUAAAACUGGAUUUGCACAGCUUUGCAAAACAUAAUUGAAAAUAUACCUCAUAUCUGCUAGUAUUUAUAAAAAUUAAAGAAUAAAUGUGAUAGAAAUAUUGCUGUAUAGUAGCA